rnacentral:rRNA from 1 species
GGUUAAGCGACUAAGCGUACACGGUGGAUGCCCUGGCAGUCAGAGGCGAUGAAGGACGUGCUAAUCUGCGAUAAGCGUCGGUAAGGUGAUAUGAACCGUUAUAACCGGCGAUUUCCGAAUGGGGAAACCCAGUGUGUUUCGACACACUAUCAUUAACUGAAUCCAUAGGUUAAUGAGGCGAACCGGGGGAACUGAAACAUCUAAGUACCCCGAGGAAAAGAAAUCAACCGAGAUUCCCCCAGUAGCGGCGAGCGAACGGGGAGCAGCCCAGAGCCUGAAUCAGUGUGUGUGUUAGUGGAAGCGUCUGGAAAGGCGCGCGAUACAGGGUGACAGCCCCGUACACAAAAAUGCACAUGCUGUGAGCUCGAUGAGUAGGGCGGGACACGUGGUAUCCUGUCUGAAUAUGGGGGGACCAUCCUCCAAGGCUAAAUACUCCUGACUGACCGAUAGUGAACCAGUACCGUGAGGGAAAGGCGAAAAGAACCCCGGCGAGGGGAGUGAAAAAGAACCUGAAACCGUGUACGUACAAGCAGUGGGAGCACGCUUAGGCGUGUGACUGCGUACCUUUUGUAUAAUGGGUCAGCGACUUAUAUUCUGUAGCAAGGUUAACCGAAUAGGGGAGCCGAAGGGAAACCGAGUCUUAACUGGGCGUUAAGUUGCAGGGUAUAGACCCGAAACCCGGUGAUCUAGCCAUGGGCAGGUUGAAGGUUGGGUAACACUAACUGGAGGACCGAACCGACUAAUGUUGAAAAAUUAGCGGAUGACUUGUGGCUGGGGGUGAAAGGCCAAUCAAACCGGGAGAUAGCUGGUUCUCCCCGAAAGCUAUUUAGGUAGCGCCUCGUGAAUUCAUCUCCGGGGGUAGAGCACUGUUUCGGCAAGGGGGUCAUCCCGACUUACCAACCCGAUGCAAACUGCGAAUACCGGAGAAUGUUAUCACGGGAGACACACGGCGGGUGCUAACGUCCGUCGUGAAGAGGGAAACAACCCAGACCGCCAGCUAAGGUCCCAAAGUCAUGGUUAAGUGGGAAACGAUGUGGGAAGGCCCAGACAGCCAGGAUGUUGGCUUAGAAGCAGCCAUCAUUUAAAGAAAGCGUAAUAGCUCACUGGUCGAGUCGGCCUGCGCGGAAGAUGUAACGGGGCUAAACCAUGCACCGAAGCUGCGGCAGCGACGCUGAUGCGUUGUUGGGUAGGGGAGCGUUCUGUAAGCCUGCGAAGGUGUGCUGUGAGGCAUGCUGGAGGUAUCAGAAGUGCGAAUGCUGACAUAAGUAACGAUAAAGCGGGUGAAAAGCCCGCUCGCCGGAAGACCAAGGGUUCCUGUCCAACGUUAAUCGGGGCAGGGUGAGUCGACCCCUAAGGCGAGGCCGAAAGGCGUAGUCGAUGGGAAACAGGUUAAUAUUCCUGUACUUGGUGUUACUGCGAAGGGGGGACGGAGAAGGCUAUGUUGGCCGGGCGACGGUUGUCCCGGUUUAAGCGUGUAGGCUGGUUUUCCAGGCAAAUCCGGAAAAUCAAGGCUGAGGCGUGAUGACGAGGCACUACGGUGCUGAAGCAACAAAUGCCCUGCUUCCAGGAAAAGCCUCUAAGCAUCAGGUAACAUCAAAUCGUACCCCAAACCGACACAGGUGGUCAGGUAGAGAAUACCAAGGCGCUUGAGAGAACUCGGGUGAAGGAACUAGGCAAAAUGGUGCCGUAACUUCGGGAGAAGGCACGCUGAUAUGUAGGUGAAGUCCCUCGCGGAUGGAGCUGAAAUCAGUCGAAGAUACCAGCUGGCUGCAACUGUUUAUUAAAAACACAGCACUGUGCAAACACGAAAGUGGACGUAUACGGUGUGACGCCUGCCCGGUGCCGGAAGGUUAAUUGAUGGGGUUAGCGCAAGCGAAGCUCUUGAUCGAAGCCCCGGUAAACGGCGGCCGUAACUAUAACGGUCCUAAGGUAGCGAAAUUCCUUGUCGGGUAAGUUCCGACCUGCACGAAUGGCGUAAUGAUGGCCAGGCUGUCUCCACCCGAGACUCAGUGAAAUUGAACUCGCUGUGAAGAUGCAGUGUACCCGCGGCAAGACGGAAAGACCCCGUGAACCUUUACUAUAGCUUGACACUGAACAUUGAGCCUUGAUGUGUAGGAUAGGUGGGAGGCUUAGAAGUGUGGACGCCAGUCUGCAUGGAGCCGACCUUGAAAUACCACCCUUUAAUGUUUGAUGUUCUAACGUUGACCCGUAAUCCGGGUUGCGGACAGUGUCUGGUGGGUAGUUUGACUGGGGCGGUCUCCUCCUAAAGAGUAACGGAGGAGCACGAAGGUUGGCUAAUCCUGGUCGGACAUCAGGAGGUUAGUGCAAUGGCAUAAGCCAGCUUGACUGCGAGCGUGACGGCGCGAGCAGGUGCGAAAGCAGGUCAUAGUGAUCCGGUGGUUCUGAAUGGAAGGGCCAUCGCUCAACGGAUAAAAGGUACUCCGGGGAUAACAGGCUGAUACCGCCCAAGAGUUCAUAUCGACGGCGGUGUUUGGCACCUCGAUGUCGGCUCAUCACAUCCUGGGGCUGAAGUAGGUCCCAAGGGUAUGGCUGUUCGCCAUUUAAAGUGGUACGCGAGCUGGGUUUAGAACGUCGUGAGACAGUUCGGUCCCUAUCUGCCGUGGGCGCUGGAGAACUGAGGGGGGCUGCUCCUAGUACGAGAGGACCGGAGUGGACGCAUCACUGGUGUUCGGGUUGUCAUGCCAAUGGCACUGCCCGGUAGCUAAAUGCGGAAGAGAUAAGUGCUGAAAGCAUCUAAGCACGAAACUUGCCCCGAGAUGAGUUCUCCCUGACCCUUUAAGGGUCCUGAAGGAACGUUGAAGACGACGACGUUGAUAGGCCGGGUGUGUAAGCGCAGCGAUGCGUUGAGCUAACCGGUACUAAUGAACCGUGAGGCUUAACCUUAC